GUUCGUUUCUGACCCUGGCGUCUGUGACAGACCUUUCCAGUGGGACGAGAACACAUCCACCUCCAGUUCGCCUCUCCGUUACGAUACCAAUUCAACGGCCUCCUGUGAAACCAAAUGCAAAGUUGUAUCUGUUCAGUGUGUGCAACCUGAAGCCUCGCUCUCUGUACUGGCUGACGUAGUACUGCAGGUCGGCCUCCGUCAGCAUGGCGCUCCGGGGAACCUGCUCCGGCAGACCCACAAACAGACCACCUGGAACACAACCCGGACGUUGUUCACUAAGAACAAGAUCCAAUCGUUCUGGUCGUCACCUGAACUCCAGUAAAGUUGACCAGUUUGUCCAAAGCAUCGUCCAGAUUUCCCACCAAGACGGCCUUCAUCCCCGCUGCUUCUGCUGCCUUCACACCUUCCUCAUCUGCAUCCAGCCACAGAGCCUGAAAUGAGACACACACUGAGCACAGCUGCACUGCCUCACAAUCUUUCCAGGACACACAGUUAUACGUCUGAGUGAGUCCUCUACCUGUUGUGAUGUCACUCCCAGGUGCUGCAGAGCACAGCUGAACACAGACGGCUCGGGGACCCUGUGACCUGAGCGACAGGACUGGAGGACCAGGUCAAAAUGUCCGCCCAGCAGAGAGAGGAUGCGGGCUGGACCGUCUCCAGCAGCACUGUCGUCUACCCAGUGAUUGGCCAGCACCGCUGUCAGUAACCCUGAUGGGACGGAGACGCAGAGACUCAGAUAUUUUUCAUCUUGAGACUGAGGAAGAAUCGAUGUGAACAACGAGAGAGAGAAGAAGAUCCCAUUGGAGGGCCACUAUUUUACCCUACGGCUGUUUGUGUGUGUUGUGUCCAGGUGUACUGAUGCAGAUGUACCACUGCGACGCAGACUGGCAGCUGUCUUCAGCACGGCUGGUUGGACGUCCAUCAUCGCCUCCCUGAGCUCCUCCAGCAGGCCUCUCACUGACCAAUCAGACGGCAGAGUCACAGCCCUGACCUCGGCCUCCUUCACACACUCUGCCUCCAACGCUGGGAUCAUCUACACACACACACACACACACACACACACACACACACACAGGGCAACAGAGUUUCAAGAAUGAAAGAGGCAGUAUUUCUACGGAGGCCAUAAGAGCAGUUGGUAGCUCACUGUGUGGAAGAAUAUGUGAUCAAAUAGUGCCUCACAAUCACAGUCACAAUCAGUAACAGAAGACAGAACUGAAGUAAACAGUGAAUUAAUAGUAGAGGAUUUUGACUACGGCUGCACAGUUAAUUGAGAUAUUAUCGAAAUCGCAAUAUGGUCAAGUGCAAUAUGCAAAUCGGAGAAGCUGCAAAUGUUUUUGAUAAAAGGUAAAAUGUGACAAACAGAGUUAUAAUGAAGUCCUGUAGUUCUGCAGAGCCCAAAAAAUGUCCCAUCGUCAUGAUUUUAAUUUGUUUUCUUUCAGUAAAAACUAAAUCUGUGAUGCAAAAAUGAUCCUUAUGGAACUAAUCGUGAAUCAUAUCUCAAUAUCUGUAAUAAUAAUCACUACAUGAUAUUUAGUCCUGAAACUCACCUGAGAAAGCUUCAUCUCCCCUCUCUCCGCCCGGCUCAUGGCACCGUCCUUUUGGGACGCCACACUGGACAGAAAACCACUGAAGACCACAGAGACACAAACAACAAAGGGACAAUAUGAACAUAUCAGCGUUAGUGAAGACUGAACUGUGAGACAAUCUGUAAAAUCUCUUUUUUAACUGAUGAAUCUUUUGCAGUUUUAUUCUGUAUAAAUCAGACUGUGCUGCUGAAAUCCAGCUUGUAUCUUAUUUCAGCUUCCUCUGUCCGUUUACUUUUGUCCAUGUGUCACUACCUGCAGUUUGAACUUGUUUACAAUUGCACAAUGUGUUAAAGAGUAACAGCAGUUUAAAGUGAAAGCCUACUUAGGUUUAGUGGUUUUCCCUCCAUUGGAUCACUGAAAUAAACUUUAAUUUGUUGUAUUUUUAGUAAAGAUUUAUAAAACCUUUGCCACA